GACGAACGCUGGCGGCGUGCUUAACACAUGCAAGUCGAACGGAAAGGCCCUGUUUGCAGGGUACUCGAGUGGCGAACGGGUGAGUAACACGUGGGUGAUCUGCCCUGCACUUCGGGAUAAGCCUGGGAAACUGGGUCUAAUACCGGAUAUGACCUUCCAUGUAGUGUGGGGGGUGGAAAGAUUUAUCGGUGUGGGAUGAGCCCGCGGCCUAUCAGCUUGUUGGUGGGGUAAUGGCCUACCAAGGCGUCGACGGGUAGCCGGCCUGAGAGGGUGGACGGCCACAUUGGGACUGAGAUACGGCCCAGACUCCUACGGGAGGCAGCAGUGGGGAAUAUUGCACAAUGGGCGGAAGCCUGAUGCAGCGACGCCGCGUGGGGGAUGACGGCCUUCGGGUUGUAAACCUCUUUCGACAGGGACGAAGCUUCGGUGACGGUACCUGUAUAAGAAGCACCGGCUAACUACGUG
rnacentral:rRNA from 1 species